rnacentral:rRNA from 1 species
GACGAACGCUGGCGGCGUGCUUAACACAUGCAAGUCGAACGAGAAGAGAUGAGAAGCUUGCUUCUUAUCAAUUCGAGUGGCAAACGGGUGAGUAACGCGUAAGCAACCUGCCCUUCAGAUGGGGACAACAGCUGGAAACGGCUGCUAAUACCGAAUACGUUCUUUUUGUCGCAUGGCAGAGGGAAGAAAGGGAGGCUCUUCGGAGCUUUCGCUGAAGGAGGGGCUUGCGUCUGAUUAGCUAGUUGGAGGGGUAACGGCCCACCAAGGCGACGAUCAGUAGCCGGUCUGAGAGGAUGAACGGCCACAUUGGGACUGAGACACGGCCCAG